AUUUUUUGACCAGCAGUAGUGGAAGGACGUGGAGCUGUAAAGAUAAAAGUUCAGUAUUCAAAAUCAAGACAAUUGACUAGACAGAGGCUAAGCCAAUUGCUCAUAAUUUCUUAUUCAUGUUGACAACAAAAUAAAACUGACCGAAGUUAUACUCCCUCUGUUCCGAAAUAAUUGUCGUUGGGCAAACACAGUUCAGAUUCUGUCACGUUAUAAAAAAGUUUCACUUUCCAAUUUUGCCCUCCCACUCACUCGCUCCCACUAGCUCUCUCGCUCGCCGCUCUCCGUCUCCUCCCCGUCGCCGCUCUCUCCCCCUCCCCUCCGUCAACGCCCUCUCCCUCUCCUCGUCGCCGCUCUCUCACUCUCCUCAUCGCCGCCCUCUUCCUUUCCUCGUAGCCGGCCUCUCCCUCUUCCCGUCGCCGGCCUCUCCCUCUCCCCGUCGCCGGCCUCUUCCACCGCCCUUUUUUCCUCACCACCCCGCCUCCACUCAUACCCCGUAAGUCAACAAAAUAUCGAUUCUUUUUGCGCCGGCGACGAGCUUCUAGGUGAAGGACGUGUGGAUGUGUAGCGGCGCCAGAGCUCGAUAUAGGCAACGAAGGCGUGGACGUGGAGCGGUGCCCGAGCGGCGGAUCUGGAGCGGCGGCUCUGGAGCGGCGCCCGAGCAACAGAGGGAGCUGGAGUUCCCUCCUGGCGUGGCGGCUCGAUCUGCAACUCCAGCAGCUGCGGUACGCCACCCUCGCUGCUGUCGCAGGGAGACGACGCUCUUCCCCUUCUCGGUCCGCCCUGAUGUGGUUUCCUCUCCGUGACCCGUCAUCGGAGGCACGACCAGAGGCAUCCCCACUGCGUGCAGCUGCUGCUCCCGGACGCCGCCGCCGCCCUCCGCAAGGAGCGACGAUAGCCUGAAGCUCUGCGGCCCGGCGUGCGCCGAGCGGCGCGCCGCGGGGGCACCGUCACCGACCGGCCACACGACAUCGCUCUCGUCCAGCUAGAAGCAUGCGCUGUCGUGGCCCGCCUCCGACUGCUUCAGCAAGCCAAGAAACUGGAACGCGCCCAUUCCCGGCGACCUCGGCAUCUCCAUCGAUGAUGAAAUCUUGCGAGCUUGUGGCUCGUUAUACUGAGUUGGAGAACAAGCAUAUCCAGCUCGAACUUGAUUUGAACCUUGUCCAGGAGAACUUCACGAAGGCGAAGGAGGAGGCAAAAGAUAAACUGAAGGAGGCUCGAAAGAAGAAGGACCUUGACCUCGUCGAGGCGCAGAAAGCGGCUUUGGACAAGACGAAGCUCGCAGAAGAAAAGCUGGCUUCAAUCAGCAAACUUGAAGAGGAGAAUACCAAUCUGAAAGCUGCUCUCAACACGGCCAACAAGGAGGUCAGUCGACUGAAGAAUGACAAACCCUAAACCCUGAGUGACAAGGCUAGCGAAUUGAUGGGGAAGAAGAACAAUCUGGAGUCUUAUCUGGAAGGGCUCGCCAAGAAGUUAUUCCUCAUGCUUGAAGAUAAUUUGAUCGAAAAGGGACGGCAUGCUGAGGUGUACAAAGGACAGCUUGCCGAUGGACAGUUUGUGGCAGUGAAGAGGUUAACAAAAAUACUUAACCAAGCAUGCUGAGGAGUACAUUAUCUACAUUAUUCUGUUUGAGGAGUACAGUAUAUGUGUAAUGCAUGAAGACCCUUAAGCCCUCUCUGACAGGAAGAUCUUUCAUUGGCACAAAAGGGGUACCAUGAGAAAAUAAAUAUUUGUUUAUUCAGCCCUCUUUUCUCUCUAUCUCUAGUUCUUCAGUUUUCUGUGUCUUUAGAAUUUUUGUUUUCAGUGUUUCUGUAGUCUAGUCUUCAGUUUUCAGUACCUUUCUACUCCUAAUAAUCAUUAGUGUUUUUAGUGCAGGAGUAUAAUUUUGUUUCAGUCAUUAGUGUUUUAGUUUUCAUUACCUAAUAAUCGGACCUUAGCUCGUUCUCUUUAAUCAGUACCCGUGCUAGUAUUUUCUUAGUAUGUGAGCUUGCAUCAUUGUUCAGUCACACUAAAUUUUGUCAAGUCUGCAUAGCUAGUUAUUCAGUUCUUGGUUUCUUUUUAGUUUUUCAAUUGUGAUCCUUCCUCACCUAAGUUCUUCACUUUGUGUCUUAGUUUGUGAGCUUCCAUCAUUGUUCUGUCUACUAGUCUAUCAGUCUAAGUCCCUAGUGCUUACUCACUCUGUCAUUUUCCAGUAAGUCCCUGCUCAUUUUAAGGUGUUCCUCAACUGAUUUUGCACUCAACUGUUUCAGUAUCAUUGUCUUUGGCGACGUUGAUCCUUCUUCACGUAUGCUGGUUGUUGCAUUUGAAUUCAGGUUAGUUUGCCAAAGGAAAGUUUCAGUCAUUCUUCCCUGUGAACAAGAGCAUGAUCGAUGCGAGUGUGAUUCGCUGUUUAUUCACGACAGUCGUUUUACAAUAGUUUGUGCAUCAUGCUCUUGUUCACGUGGUCAGGUUUUCUUGUAAUUUUGCUUGCUGUAGAUAUACUCCAAAGCAAAAGAAAUCUGAAGCUAAGCUAGCUAGCAACGGUGGUGACUGCUAUGCUUUUAGUCUGUUCUUUGUUGAGAAUUUUCAUGCAAUAUGCCUGUUUCAUCACAUGACAUUUGACUAUGAAUGAACUUAGGUAACGCCGUUGAAGUUGGUAUCUUGCUUGUUUCCAAGUCUUGCGGUUGUACAUGAUGGUUUCAUCAGAUGGAUGUGAACUGAAUGUAUGUCCAGUUUACACCGAUGUAACCUGAUUCUGAAGAAAAGAAUGCCACAUACAGAUGGCGUCGACCUUGGCCUCCUCGUCGAUCUGACUCUGCAUUAAGAAAACUUGUUGGCAUCAAGUGUCCCCCUUCCUCCACCGGUAGCCUUCCAUCGAAUUCACAUCAGAACACUUCAUUCAUUCACCCAGAAAAAAUAACUGACAUUGCCAACAUCUCACAAGAAAGAAGAGAGCAGAGUUGAAGUUGCCAGCCAGCCUGUUUACUUGCAGCUACACCAGUGUUCUUCUUCUUCUUCUUCGCAGAAUCAAUCGGGUUUACUUGCAGCCUUACUCACUUUGUGUCUUAGUUAAUCAAAUUCCUCAAUUGAGGAACACCUGGAAUUGUCAUUCCGGUCUUGGGAUCAAUAGUAGCAUAUGGACUUAUCAUUCUGGUUUUUGGAUGAUUUAGUUAAUCAAAUUGACAUCAAUUGACCUGUUUUUAAGAUCAAUUGCAGAUUCUCUUGAUUGGAGUGGAGAGGAGCAGAUACGAGAGGAGCAGCAGAAGUGGACAGCGCAGCGGCUGACCUCGAGCUCUUGAUUGGAGUGGGGGGAGGCGGCCGGCGAAGGAUCUGUUGCCAGCAGCGAAGGAUCCGAAGUUGUGGCGGAGCAGGCAGCCGGCGGGAAGGGCGGACGGCGAGGGAGCUGCAGACCUUGGCGCGGAAGGGCGGCCGAUGAGGGAACUGUGGACCACGGCGGGGAAGGGCGGCCGGCCGGCGAGGGAGCUGCGGACCGCGGCGGGGAAGGACGUCGGAGAUGCGGACGACGGAGGAGCCCGGCGAAAGGGAGCAGCGACGGCGGAGAAGCCUGGCGGAGGGGAGGAGCGACAGAGGAAGACGCCUCCCGAUGGAUUUCAAAUCGGGGGUAGUAUUGUACUUUCACACUAUUUCACCUGGUCGGGAGGAUGCCCCAGCGACAAUUAUUUCGGAACGGAGGGAGUA